CCGUAUUUUGUAAAAACCCACUUCAUUUCUGGUCAUUUCUUGUCACCCGUGGCGUUGAAUUGCCUAUAUUGGUGAUAAUGGUAGCGUGACAUCGUGCAGGCCAACAAACACGGGUGAAAAUAAUGUAGAAAUAAAAGAAACGAAGUGCUAUCAAAUACGGCACCAGGUGAAAUAGCUGCACAAGUAAGAAUGACUAACAUGUCAUACCACCGUAACCGCGUCAUCAAGCACUUCAACACGUCUCAGAUAUUGACAUCCUGAUCUACGUAAAGGGCUCGCAGCUGCCUAACUAGACAAAAAGAAAGAAAAGGGUGAAAAAGAAAGAUAACAUCGCGUUCUUCAGCUGGGAACUGUACUUACAAGAAUAACAUUGUGAGCCGUUAUUUUUCACGUUAUCUUUUCUAGGUCAACAACUUGCAAAUGCUGCUUCGUACAGAAUCGUAGGCCGACCUUAUCACAACGAAUGAUUGAAAAAAAUCAUUAUCUUUUUUCGUGAAGCCUAUGAUAAGUUUUAAACGGCAAGAAAUUGUACAGAAUAUCAGGAUGAACAGAGCAACCUUUUAAAUUUAUACAGGUUAUAUCUCUGAUUUCACAAGCAGUCAUGCUCACUGUUAGCAGUCAAAUCCGAAAAAAAAAGAGUUUGACCAGAAACCGACAAUCAGGGUAUAAUGAAAAAUAGAAGUAAUCAGGCGUCAGCACGGUCAGUCGUGUAAUCAGCAUUUUAUUUCAGCACUCUCGUAUCAAACAUAUUCGCCUAAAACAGCUUAGUUGAACAAAGGUGUAUUUUCCCUAAGUGGUAAGAAACUUGAGCCAUUGUACGCGUGACAAAGAAGUCCAGUGAAGAGCCGCAAGAAAGAUAGGCUUAUUUUUUUUUUCUUCCUAAGUAGUAGUGCGGCAACUUCGUGUAUAUCAGAAGACUGAACACCAAAAUACCUGGGCUAUGUAGUGCUUUCAAACAGAACGUGAAAUCAUCACAAUGCUUGAGCCCAUAAACACAAGUACAAGAAAAAAGAAAAAAAAAGAAGAAGAAGGAGAUGCAAGUCCGAACAGUGCUAUUCCAGUAACCUGCUAAACGUUGGAUGAAAUGAACAGCCUAACAUGUCAAUAAACGACGCUUAUUAGGUUCUCAACUUCACUCGCAUAUUGUUUCCUUCCGGGACUUCUUGACUGCAGGUGGGAAAAAAACCCCGACGCGGCAUUUGUUUUGCGAGCCGGCAAUGGCAAUGGCUGUCUAUUCACAUUGCCUGCAACAACUUGCUGACGACGCCCAAUGCCCUAGUUGGCUCUUAAAGUAUGCAUUAACAAAGAACGUCCUGCUAUAUGCACUCGCCUAUGCCUACGCUGGCGGAGGAGACAGCCUGUGUGCGCCCGAGUUCUUCAGGCCUGCAGUCAAACGCAGCAUCUCAUCUCAACACUGGACCGGCCUGGAAUAAGCGGUCAACGAACAAUCGUCCAUUGCUGACAUGGUGUGAUACUUUUUUUUUUGUUCGAUUGGCAACAACUGGAGGAAACGUAGCCUUUAAAUGCCUGCACUGACGUCUCGCUCUCCUAAAGAGUAGAGGCGUGAGUAACGACGCUCAAGAAACACGCUAAUCAAGCACCGACACAUUAUCUUGUGCUGUGGGUAACAGUGCUAAAAAGACUAGGUUAUAUAAUUUGUUUCUCUUUUCAAAUGGUCGUCUCGUAUGAGUCAACUGAUGUUCGCAAAGAGUUACUCUAAAGCCAGAGGGAGAGAGAGAUAAGACUCACUGAAGUGCGUGCUGAGAUCAUAACGACAGAAUUCAACGAGUUCGAGCUUUUGACACGACAGUGACGUGGAACGUAAUAGCAAAAAGCGGUAGCCAGUGCUGUGUGCGGAAGUAUACCAUUAAACAGUGAGAACGGCGCAAGAGUUCAUUGUUAAGGUGAACAUUAGGUGCGAGGGGGAAACCCCGAUAGAAACACCCCGAAACUUCUUAAGUACUUUAUAAUAAACAAAGGUCUUAUUGCCAUCAAGAAGUAUUCGUGAACCGUAAAUAAGAUAGCUACGAGAAAAAUGAACCAACGAGCGCAAUCAUAUCGUUGAAGAAGUAGUAGAAGGCCUGAGCGCACAUUAACAGCAUAUAUGGGGAGAAAAUUUCACUUCCUCGCUGUUCUGAAUGAACUAGAGCUUUUACAACUGCAGCACCAUUUCUGUGAGUGGCUUGUGUUUUAUAAGUUGAAAGUGAAUAAGACGAUACAGACUAACAAACUGAGACACUUCGGUAAUGAAAGAACGUCACGAGCAUUUCACGUAUAGCACAGAAAAAAAAAUAACUUAGUGUGACAAGAAGAGCAAAUAGGCUCCGAUGACAGCAAGUAUGCGUGAAACAACAAAACGUGACAGCAUAACACAGACACGUGUCCCGCAUUCCGAAAACCUGUUUUAAACCCGGAAGCACCCAAGAAACACUCUUGUCUACUAUUCAAAUCCUACGUACAUGGUGUAUUCGGCCAACAGUCACGCCAUCAUAACACUGAAGAAAAGCUCUCAGACAAACGGGGACAUUGUCCUCACCUCGGCUCGUGUAUAACAGAGAAGACAGAAGAGCCACUGAAAGAGGAGGAAACAGAGCGAACCGGAACGUAUGCACUGCGCGUAACAAUUCACCACGGAACAGGAAACGGCUUUGGCUGCGCAACAGUCUUGUCGAGAAACGUGUUUCCCAGGCCGCUCCACUUCCUACGACGGAAGGGAGCGCAAUGCUACACAAGACGAGAACAAAAACAAACAAAAAAACAACGUUGCACCCCAAUGAAAGACACACACUCGUCAUAGGGCUGUUGUUGGGUGAACAGUACGUCGUCAAAGACGCGGCAUGGCUAAGUUCACUAUGUGGAACGUAACUGCAGCAGCUCCACCGUGGUUACAAAGCGCUAACGGGAGGACGAGUUUCUCUACUCGAUUACUCAAGUGCAGAACUGCGCAGCAUAUUGUGCUCUUUCUCUCUCUCCAAUUCUCCGUCUCUCCCUCCAUCAUUGUUUCCCUCUUCAUCCUUUCUCCUCCUCUGUUUGUACGAGUCAGAAUACAGAUGGAACCAGCGAAGCAACCGGUGCGACUAGACGGGGCACAAAUCUGAGCAAAUACUUCUGUCGCGGAGAGCGCCGCCCCACGUAGGGGGCGCCACUCACGGUCACGAUAUUCGGGAAGAAAGGGUGUCUAAGUGCACGCGAGAGAGAGAGAGAAAAAGAGUUUGGGACGGGUGUGCCGACGGGGAGAGACGAGGCGGAGGUCGAGGAGGGGACCGCGGCACAAGCACAUACACGAGACAGAAAGCUGCGAGCGACGGGCGCGAGGUGGCGGGAAGCUCGCUGGCUUCGAGAUUAUCUCACAUCACGACGAACCACGUCCGCGUGUGGCGUCGUAUUUCUACAGGGUGGCUAGACCGCGCAAGCACGCGACUCGGCACAAGACAGGGAGCGCUAAGCGUCUAUGGGGCCGUGGUCAGCCGUUCUAAGCAAUGCUCUCUGCGUUUCGGAUAAAAGAUGCUUUCUUUCUUUUUAAAAAAAGAAAGACUAUAUUAGAAAGCUAAGAAGGAAGAGGCGCCGGUUUGGGAGACUGAGGCGCACCUCCCGACAGCGUGGCGCCGGACGUGGGGAGGGCGCCCUCUGGUGGUGCGGCUGGCCGGCCGACGACGCCAGGGGGCAGCGCCGCCCGGCUGUGGAAAGUUUGGACCGGGCUCGCUGGAAGACGCAAGGACACAACGGCGGGGGAGGUUCUAAAGAGUGCGUCUCAUGCACAUCGGUGUGUAGUGGAAUCUCUAUGUACAUCGGAUGUCUCUUGCGCCCCGUGUGGCCGUCAUGCCUAGAGAGAAUUCGCCAUGCACUUUGUCAUGCACUUAUAAAAAGGAGCACUAGGCCUAACACAGUAAUGUUUGUGAUUAUAUACACGAAGUUUGUAAGCACUUAUGUACAUAAAUGGGAAUUAGAGAGAAUCGGCUGUUUCCGCUGUGUUGCGUGUGUAUGUGUCUCACUGCUUAUCUGUGUGUUUAUGUAUGUAUGUAUAUAUAUAAUAUAUUUAUAUUCUCUCUGUUUCUCUGUGGGUACUUGUCUUGCCUCAGAUGGUGGCGCCUCCGAGUGAGGCGACGGGAUUGACUCUCUGAAAACGUCGGUAAAACUGCGUUACGCAUACUGUACUGCUGGCAGGCCUGAACUGAGCUACGCGGGGGGUAAAUAGUACGGGGGAGAAAAAAGAAAAAAGAAAAGGUCUGCAAGACUCGAGGCGGUGUACGACAGCCCAGCGAGAUCGCACGCGUAAGCGUCAAGCUGAUCGAGGGUCCUACUCUACCGCGGCGUCCACCCGAACGCGCACACCGCGGCAACGUACGACGCUUCGCUCAGCGCGACGCGCCAAGGAUUGAUGCGCGAGGACCUGACGCGAGGACGCUCCUAAAAAUGGCGGGAGACCUGCUACAGGUUUACAUAAGCAGGAGCGCGCGACAGAUACCCGAGACCAAAACCCAUCGGCGGAGGUCGCAGGUUGGCGAGCCGAAGGACACCGCCUCCAGACCUGCAGACGCGCUCCGUGUGCAUUUGCCGGAGCGAAACUCCUACAGCUGGGCGCUUCUUUGAUUCCACAACCUGCCGUUACAGAGGCAGGAGUGCUCGACGCGGUAACGCGCCUAUUGCGCACAUAAAUGUGCAAGGGCCGGGUGGGGGGGGUGAUGUGGGUGCGGCGCAAUGCGUUUCGCGAUAUCGCGACUCGAGUUUUUUUUUUUUUUUUUGCGUCACUGCCCGCAGCGCCUCGAUCCAAAGAAGAAGAAGAGAAAAAGCAACAACCAAAAAGAAGAUGACAACUCUGAAAACACAAGACCGCCGAGCGAAAGGAGCGUGCCCCGAAAUGUGGCACUCGGUAUAGUAUAGCAAGUGCGACGUUCCGUCGCCAACUAAGUCGACGAAAUUCGAACGGAAGCUCUCGGUGCGGCAUUCGAAAACUCGGCCCUGUACGCGUUGGGAAGGAAAUCCGUCGUCAUCAUCGACAACCACCCACGUGACGUUCCUGUAUAACGCAACACGCGUUUGAAAAGAAAAAAAAAGAUGAAUGUAAUUCGCAAACGUUUUGGGGGAGCUCAGUAGAGACAAGAGGGGAGGAGCAGGACGAGCGGCGACCUAUUUUCUCUCUCGGAUGAGGAGAACCGUGCGCGCGCACGCGCAUGAUCACCGCCGACGGCAGCGCCGUGCAGCGGGCGAGGCGCGCACUAGUCGUCGCCGACGUCGUCCGGCAGAACGUCGCUGAUGUGCAGAACCAGACUGAAGGCAGCAUACGCCAAGAGAUUUGGCUUUGGAAAAGCAUCUCUCUCCUAAAGUGGGAGUGCUCGCAUUGCUGAAAGGAAACGUCGCCGAGCGUGCACGCUUGUCUGUCCAUCGGGAAGUAUCUGAGAUCCAUUGGGCAGCUGGCAGUCACCGUCAGUCUGCAAAAUGAAGACAAAGAAGACCGAGUCCGCCACGUGCCGACCUCCGCCGUUGCCCUGCGAGAAGGUUUUGAGUGUUUGCGGUACGGACGCUCGUGCUCAGAGUUCUUGUGCCGCGUAGUCGUUUGGUCAAAGGUUUUCUGACAG